GACGAACGCUGGCGGCGUGCUUAACACAUGCAAGUGGUGCGACGAACCAGGGCUUGCCCUGGGGCAAAGCCGCGAACGGGUGAGUAACACGUGAGUAACCUGCCCCGAUGACCGGGACGAACCCGACGGAAACUCGGGCGUAAUACCGGAUGUGGCGCACAGGCAUCAGCCUGUUCGCUAAAGGAAGCUUCGGCCUUCGCAUCGGGAGUGGGCCCGGCCGGCGCAUUAG
rnacentral:rRNA from 1 species